rnacentral:sRNA from 1 species
GGGCAUAAAAGCUGGCCACAGAAGCCAGCAGCGCCAAUCAUGGCGGGUCCUGGUCCAAGCUGUGGGGGUUUUGUACUUUUGCUCUUCGAACUAAAUCUUGCUGCUGCUUACUCUUUGGGCCUGCACUACCUUUACGACCUGUAACACUCACUGCCAAGGUGUGUAGCUUCACUCCUCAAGUCAGCGAGACCACAAACCCACCGGGAGGAGCUAACAGCUGUGCUACGUGCCACCUUUAAGAGCUGUAACGCUCGCUGCGAAGGUCGGCGGCUUCACGGGGAGGAAGAAACAGCUCCCGACGCGCCACCUGUAAGAGCUUAACGCUCACUGUGAAGGUCGGCGGCCUCACCCGAAGGAAGAAACAGCUCCCGACGCGCCACCUGUAAGAGCUUAACGCUCACUGUGAAGGUCGGCGGCCUCACCCGAAGGAAGAAACAGCUCCCGACGCGCCACCUGUAAGAGCUCACUGAGAAGGUCUCCGGCUUCACUCCUGAAGUCAAGCAAGACCACGAACCCGCCAGAAGGAAGAAACUCCGGACGUAUCUGAACAUCAGAAGGAACCAAUUCCGGACACACUGUUUGCAGGGAGGUGUAGACGCUGAUCACCGUUUCCAGUCAUUUUAAAAAUUCAGGCGCACGGCGGCCCUACAGGAGGGUCUGAGGCGGGCAGUCUCUGUGCCGCUGACGCUGGCGGAGACGGUGGCCUCGCUAUGGCCGGCGCUGCAGGAACUGGCCCGGUGUGGGAACCUGGCCUGCCGGUCAGACCUCCAGGUGGCGGCCAAAGCCCUGGAGAUGGGCGUGUUUGGCGCAUAUUUCAACGUGCUCAUCAACCUGAGGGACAUCACAGACGAGGCAUUUAAGGACCAGAUCCACCAUCGUGUUUCCAGCCUCCUGCAGGAAGCCAAGACCCAGGCUGCACUGGUGCUGGACUGCUUGGAGACCCGGCAGGAGUGACGGUGCGGGAGGCCUCUCCGGGCUCUGUGGCCCCUCCCUCGCCCAUCCCCAGAGGGCAGAGCUGUGACCUCGAAACCCCAGGGACAGCAGGACCUUCGACGCUGGAAGGAUAGCCUCGCUUCCCAGGUGCAGCUCUCAGCAGGUCCGGACAGUUCCACAGAGCACGGUACUGGCCCCGUCCUCAGUUCCCGUCCACCCUUCAACCAGUGGCUCCUGGGAGACUUUUCCUCCCUGCCCAGCCAGCCUCCUGUCUCCAGAGAAGUUCUCCAUUAAAAAAUAAUUUAACAAAUCA